rnacentral:rRNA from 1 species
GACGAACGCUGGCGGCGUGCCUAAUACAUGCAAGUCGAGCGCAGGAAGCCGUCUGAACCCUUCGGGGGGGCGACGGUGGAAUGAGCGGCGGACGGGUGAGUAACACGUAUAGAACCUGCCCAUAGGUCUGGGAUAACCACGAGAAAUCGGGGCUAAUCCCGGAUGUGUCAUCGGACCGCAUGGUCCGAUGAUGAAAGGCGCUCCGGCGUCGCCCAUGGAUGGCUUUGCGGUGCAUUAGCUAGUUGGUGAGGUAACGGCCCACCAAGGCGACGAUGCAUAGCCGACCUGAGAGGGUGAUCGGCCACACUGGGACUGAGACACGGCCCAGACUCCUACGGGAGGCAGCAGUAGGGAAUCUUCCACAAUGGACGAAAGUCUGAUGGAGCAACGCCGCGUGAACGAUGAAGGCUUUCGGGUCGUAAAGUUCUGUUGUAAGGGAAGAACAAGUGCCGCAGGCAAUGGCGGCACCUUGACGGUACCUUGCGAGAAAGCCACGGCUAACUACGUGCCAGCCGCCGCGGUAA